CACAAAAUUAAUUAAACAAGCCAUCCUUCUGACGUCUUGUGGUGAACAUUAACUGCAGAUAUGAAAAGAAUAUUGUCUUUGAGAACGUUUAAGAUGUCCUACUUCAGGGGCGUGGACGAGAAGCACCUGUAUAAAAAGAGAUCGAGAGAGACACGCAGCAUCCACACCUGCCCGAGAGCUGAAACAUCCCAGAGUUCCAUCUCGACCUCCACCUGCAAAACUUCAUCACCCUGCUGCUCCACCCAACCUCCAGAUAAGGGGUUCCAUCAUGAAGACGGCUGCGCUGAUCUUCGUGCUGGCAGUUGUUGCCAGCCAGGUUGAGCUGGUUCUGUCCGUGAUUCUUGAGAAUGGAGACAAGGCGGAUCUCACCG